AGUGAACGCUGGCGGUAGGCCUAACACAUGCAAGUCGAACGGCAGCACAGUAAGAGCUUGCUCUUACGGGUGGUGAGUGGCGGACGGGUGAGGAAUACAUCGGAAUCUACUUUUUCGUGGGGGAUAACGUAGGGAAACUUACGCUAAUACCGCAUACGACCUACGGGUGAAAGCAGGGGAUCUUCGGACCUUGCGCGAUUGAAUGAGCCGAUGUCGGAUUAGCUAGUUGGCGGGGUGAAGGCCCACCAAGGCGACGAUCCGUAGCUGGUCUGAGAGGAUGAUCAGCCACACUGGAACUGAGACACGGUCCAGACUCCUACGGGAGGCAGCAGUGGGGAAUAUUGGACAAUGGGCGCAAGCCUGAUCCAGCCAUACCGCGUGGGUGAAGAAGGCCUUCGGGUUGUAAAGCCCUUUUGUUGGGAAAGAAAAGCAGCAGGUUAAUACCCCGCUGUUCUGACGGUACCCAAAGAAUAAGCACCGGCUAACUUCGUG
rnacentral:rRNA from 1 species